rnacentral:rRNA from 1 species
UCGGGAAUUUUGGGCAAUGGGCGAAAGCCUGACCCAGCAACGCCGCGUGAAGGAUGAAGUAUUUCGGUAUGCAAACUUCGAAAGAAUAGGAAGAAUAAAUGACGGUACUAUUUAUAAGGUCCGGCUAACUACGUGCCAGCAGCCGCGGUAAUACGUAGGGACCAAGCGUUGUUCGGAUUUACUGGGCGUAAAGGGCGCGUAGGCGGCAAUUCAAGUCAUCUGUGAAAUCUCCGGGCUUAACUCGGAACGGUCAGAUGAUACUGCUUUGCUAGAGUGCAGAAGGGGCAAUCGGAAUUCUUGGUGUAGCGGUGAAAUGCGUAGAUAUCAAGAGGAACACCUGAGGUGAAGACGGGUUGCUGGGCUGACACUGACGCUGAGACGCGAAAGCUAGGGUAGCAAACGGGAUUAGAUACCCGCGUAGUCCCUGAGCGGGCUGGCAAGGCGCAU